CGGGUGAGUAAUGCUUGGGAAUCUAGCUUAUGGAGGGGGAUAACUACGGGAAACUGUAGCUAAUACCGCGUAGAAUCGAGAGAUGAAAGUGUGGGACCUUCGGGCCACAUGCCAUAGGAUGAGCCCAAGUGGGAUUAGGUAGUUGGUGAGGUAAAGGCUCACCAAGCCGACGAUCUCUAGCUGGUCUGAGAGGAUGACCGGCCACACUGGGACUGAGACACGGCCCAG
rnacentral:rRNA from 1 species